AAAUAAAUCUUAACUCCAGGAUU
rnacentral:snRNA from 1 species